AGCGAUGUCCGGGCUGUGCCCUCCCGUGCCUACUGAACUGGUAUCAGUGUUUUACCUGAAAACUGGCUCAGUUCAGCAGGAACAGGAGUGGAGCCCACUGACUAGAAGGAUCCAUGCCCCAUGUCUCGACUUCCACGGAUCACACAGCGAGGCAACCCGGCUCAGAUUCAUUAUCUCUUUUGCAGAGCUCUCGUGCUUAGUUGGCCACACCCCCCACAGAGCGGUGUGGGGCGUCGGCCUCGAGCCAUUGGCCCUGAUGAAAAUCAAACCCGAGCCCUCCAACCUGUCAGAUGACGGCACUGAACCCUGAAGCAUAUGCAAGGCGGUGCAGCUCCAGUCAGAUGACUGUCCCCUUCUCUGCAAAGAUAUGAAUGUUUCAUAAGCAGAUUUACCAUUUUUUGCUUGAUAGGCUGAGACUGGAGUUCAUUGUCAGGUAAUCCCGGUGAAAUGUCUGCUAUGCCUGUAUAAUUGAUGUCACCCAGCAGUCCCCAUUAUCAGUGAAUGGGAGUGUGUGCAAACGCUGCUUCCUCCCCACUCUCCAUUUAACUCGCUGCCACCAAAGGGAAAGUGCCUCAUCUUGAAGAUUUCAUCCUCAGGGGAAAGUGGAAGCUCAUUAACAAGCAUGAUGAAUCUGCUCUUAUCCAGCAACUCCACUCACCACGGUUGGCACCACAAAAUUAUACUUCUGUUACUCUGAAUGUCUGUGGAUAAAUGUUGCAUUCAAACCUCGAGGAGCUCUCCCACAAGAAAGGUUAGAGCGAUGUUUUUUUCAUUUGAUAUUGACUUCAGGGCAUUGUUUCAGUCAAGUGCUGCCAUGGAUAAGUUAGUUAUGAUUAGUAUUAAGUAUUUGAUCUGACUGAAUGUGGAAGACCGCGGUGCAUGACGUGUAUUAUUCUAAAUGUCAGUACGUUUCAGCCAUUUGCAGCAUGAUUUGUUUUGAUUACACAGGUGCGACCAGUGUUUCAUUCCAUUGCCAAUCCAGCCAUGAUUAUUCAUGUAAUAAAGUGUAAAUGAGCCCCAGAAAGAAUUCUA